ensembl:piRNA 21ur-6737 ncRNA
UCUCUCUGCAUAUAUCUCAUU